AAAUUACGAAGGAGCCGUUCGUAUAGUUUGC
rnacentral:sRNA from 1 species